GAUGAACGUUGGCGGCGUGCCUAAUACAUGCAAGUCGAGCGAACGGACGAGAAGCUUGCUUUUCUGAUGUUAGCGGCGGACGGGUGAGUAACACGUGGAUAACCUACCUAUAAGACUGGGAUAACUUCGGGAAACCGGAGCUAAUACCGGAUAAUAUUUUGAACCGCAUGGUUCAAAAGUGAAAGACGGUCUUGCUGUCACUUAUAGAUGGAUCCGCGCUGCAUUAGCUAGUUGGUAAGGUAACGGCUUACCAAGGCAACGAUGCAUAGCCGACCUGAGAGGGUGAUCGGCCACACUGGAACUGAGACACGGUCCAGACUCCUACGGGAGGCAGCAGUAGGGAAUCUUCCGCAAAGGGCGAAAGCCUGACGGAGCAACGCCGCGUGAGUGAUGAAGGUCUUCGGAUCGUAAAACUCUGUUAUUAGGGAAGAACAUAUGUGUAAGUAACUGUGCACAUCUUGACGGUACCUAAUCAGAAAGCCACGGCUAACUACGUG
rnacentral:rRNA from 1 species